rnacentral:rRNA from 1 species
AGAGCGUAUGGUGGAUGUCUUGGCAUAUAGAGCGGAAGAAGGACGCGAUUAACAGCGAAAUGCCUCGGGGAGUCGUAAAUAGGCAACGAUCCGGGGGUAUCCGAAUGGGGCAACCCAGUACCAGUAAUGUGGUGCUAUCCUCAAGCCAAUACAUAACUUGAGAGAGGAGAACCCAGGGAAUUGAAACAUCUUAGUACCUGGAGGAAAAGAAAACAACAGUGAUUCCGAAAGUAGUGGCGAGCGAAAUUGGAAGAGCCCAAACCAGUCUAAGGACUGGGGUAGUAGGACUGCAACGUGGAAAGAGAAGGAAUAGUCGAAUGGCAUUGAAAGGCCAGUCGAAGAAGGUGCAAACCCUGUAGACGAAAUUCCAACGAAUCCUAGCAGGAUCCUGAGUACGACGAGGCACGUGGAACCUUGUCGGAAGCAACCGGGACCAUCCGGUAAGGCUAAAUACUCCUAUAUGACCGAUAGUGAACCAGUACCAUGAGGGAAAGAUGAAAAGAACCGCGGGAGCGGAGUGAAAUAGAACCUGAAACCGUAUGCUUACAAAAAGUCAGAGCACAUUAAAGUGUGAUGGCGUGCCUUUUGUAGAAUGAACCGGCGAGUUAUCCUUGCAUGCGAGGUUAAGCUGACAAAGCGGAGCCGAAGCGAAAGCGAAUCUUAAUAGGGUGAAAGUAUGCAGGGAUAGACCCGAAGCCGUUGUGAUCUAGUCAUGAGCAGGUUGAAGGUUGGGUGAAACCAACUGGAGGACCGAACCGACCCCCGUUGAAAAGUUGGCGGAUGACUUGUGAUUAGCGGAGAAAUUCCAAUCGAACACGGCGAUAGCUGGUUCUCCCCGAAAUAGCUUUAGGGCUAGCGUUGAGCGAAUCAUCGUGGAGGUAGAGCACUGAAUUCAUGAGGGCGGCAUCUAGCCGUACCAAAUGAAAUCAAACUCCGAAUGCCAUGAAUGAAUACUCAGCAGUCAGACUGUGGGUGAUAAGGUCCAUGGUCAAAACGGAAACAGCCGAGAUCAUCAGAUAAGGUCCCAAAAUCUAUGCUAAGUGGAAAAGGAUGUGGAGACGCGCAAACAGCUAGGAGGUUGGCUUAGAAGCAGCCACCCUUCAAAGAGUGCGUAACAGCUCACUAGUCGAGUAUCUCUGCGCCGAAAAUUAACCGGGGCUAAGCAUAGUACCGAAUCUAUGGAUUUAUAUUUCGAAUAUAAGUGGUAGGGGAGCGUUCCAAACAGCGUUGAAGGUAUACCGUAAGGAGUGCUGGAGCGUUUGGAAGUGAGAAUGCCGGUGUGAGUAGCGAGAUGUAGGUGAGAAUCCUACACACCGAUAGACCAAGGUUUCCAGGGGAAGGUUCGUCCGCCCUGGGUUAGUCGGGAACUAAGGCGAGGCCGAAAGGCGUAGUCGAUGAACAGCAGGUUGAUAUUCCUGUACCCACGUAUUAAAUGAUGGAGUGACAGACAAGGUUAGUUAGAGCCCUUACUGGAUUGGGCAAGACGUGUGAAUAGAUGGUAUAUAGGAAAAUCCGUAUACGGAAAUCAAGACACGGCUCGAGUGAACACGCGAGUAAGUAAUGAAGAAAAUGAUACCAGGUCUCAAGAAAAGCUUCUAGUGUUAAUUAAUAAGUGGCCCGUACCUAAACCGACACAGGUGGUCAAGGCGAGUAGCCUAAGGUGAGCGAGAGAACUGUUGCCAAGGAACUCGGCAAAUUGAUCCCGUACGUUAGCUAUAAGGGAUGCUCGAAAGAGCCGCAGUGAAAAGGCCCUAGCAACUGUUUAACUAAAACAUAGCUCUCUGCUAAGUCGCAAGACGAUGUAUAGGGGGUGACACCUGCCCGGUGCUGGAAGGUCAAAAGGAUGAGUUAGGAGCAAUCCGAAGCUUUGAAUUGAAGCCCCAGUGAACGGCGGCCGUAACUAUAACGGUCCUAAGGUAGCGAAAUUCCUUGUCAGGUAAGUUCUGACCCGCACGAAAGGUGUAAUGAUUUGGGAGCUGUCUCGACAAUGUACUCGGCGAAAUUGUAGUACUAGUGAAGAUGCUAGUUACCUGCGACAAGACAGAAAGACCCCAUGGAGCUUUACUGCAGCUUGAUACUGGGUUUCGGUAAUUUAUGUACAGGAUAGGUGGGAUGCUAAGAAGUAUGUGCGCCAGCGCAUAUGGAGCAGACGUUGGGAUACCACCCUUAAAUUACUGGAAUUCUAACUAUAAGUCCUAAGCGGGCUUGAGGACAAUGUCAGGCGGGCAGUUUGACUGGGGCGGUCGCCUCCUAAAGAGUAACGGAGGCGCGCAAAGGUUUCCUCAGCGCGGACAGAAAUCGCGCGAAAGAGUGCAAAGGCAGAAGGAAGCUUAACUGAGAGACAGACAUGUCGACCAGAUACGAAAGUAGGUCUUAGUGAUCCGGUGGUUGUAAGUGGAAAUGCCAUCGCUCAACGGACAAAAGUUACCCUGGGGAUAACAGGCUUAUCUCCCCCAAGAGUUCACAUCGACGGGGAGGUUUGGCACCUCGAUGUCGGCUCAUCACAUCCUGGAGCGGAAGUACGUUCCAAGGGUUGGGCUGUUCGCCCAUUAAAGUGGUACGCGAGCUGGGUUCAGAACGUCGUGAGACAGUUCGGUCCUUAUCUGUCGCAGGCGAAGGAUAUUUGAAGGGAGUUGACCUUAGUACGAGAGGACCAGGUUGAAGGAACCGAUGGUGCACCAGUUGUACUACCAAGUGCAUAGCUGGAUAGCUAAGUUCCGAAGGGAUAAACGCUGAAAGCAUCUAAGUGUGAAGCCCACCCUAAGAUAAGAUAUCCCAUAUCGAAAGAUAGU